rnacentral:rRNA from 1 species
GUUGAACGCUGGCGGCGUGCCUAACACAUGCAAGUCGAGCGAACGGACGAGAAGCUUUCCUGUCUUAUGCUGGCGGCGGACGGGUGAUUAACACGUGGAUAACCUACCUAUAAGACUGAGAUCAGUUCGCGAAACCUGAUCUAGUAUCGGUCAAUAUUUUGAACGUCAUGGUUCAUAAGUGAUCGACGUUCUUGCUGUCACUAAUAGAUGUUUCCGCGCUGCAUUAGUUAGUUGGUAGGGUAACGGCCUACCAAGGCGACGAUGCAUAGCCGACCUGAGAGGAUGAUCGGCCACACUGGAACUGAGACACGGUCCAGACUCCUACGGUAGGCAGCAGUGGGGAAUCUUGCACAAUGGGCGAAAGCCUGAUGGAGCAACGCCGCGUGAGUGAAGAAGGUCUUCGGAUCGUAAAGCUCUGUUAGUAGGGAAGAACGGAUGUGAGAGUAACUGUGCAUAUCUUGACGGUACCUAAACAGAAAGCCACGGCUAACUACGUG